rnacentral:rRNA from 1 species
CGAGGUAGACGCGGGGAACUGAAACAUCUCAUUACCCGCAGGAAGAGAAAGAAAAAUCGAUUCCCUGAGUAGCGGCGAGCGAAACGGGAAGAGCCCAAACCAGUGUGCAUGCACACUGGGGUUGUAGGACUUUCAACAACGUGUAUGACAAUCUGUAGCAGAACCCUGUUGGAAAGCAGGACCAAAGAAGGUGACAGUCCUGUAUGCAAAACGGAAAGUUGGCACAAGAGAGCACCUGAGUACGGCGGGACACGAGGAAUCCCGUCGGAAUCCGCCAGGACCAUCUGGCAAGGCUAAAUACUACCUAGUGACCGAUAGUGAACCAGUACCGUGAGGGAAAGGUGAAAAGAACCCCGGGAGGGGAGUGAAAGAGUACCUGAAACCGUGUGCUUACAAGUAGUCAGAGCCCGUUAAUGGGUGAUGGCGUGCCUUUUGUAGAAUGAACCGGCGAGUUACGUUAACAUGCGAGG